rnacentral:rRNA from 1 species
UACGUAGGGUGCAAGCGUUAAUCGGAAUACUGGGCGUAAAGCGUGCGCAGGCGGUGAUGUAAGACAGAUGUGAAAUCCCCGGGCUCAACCUGGGAACUGCAUUUGUGACUGCAUCGCUGGAGUGCGGCAGAGGGGGAUGGAAUUCCACGUGUAGCAGUGAAAUGCGUAGAGAUGUGGAGGAACACCGAUGGCGAAGGCAGCCCCCCUGGGCCAAUACUGACGCUCAUGCACGAAAGCGUGGGGAGCAAACAGG